rnacentral:rRNA from 1 species
CCCUUAGAUGUCCUGGGCUGCACGCGCGCUACACUGAUGUGUCCAGUAAGCACCUAACCUCUUCCGAAAGGAACGGGUAACCUUUGCAAAGCACAUCGUGAUGGGGAUAGAUUAUUGCAAUUAUUAGUCUUGAACGAGGAAUUCCUAGUAAGCACAAGUCAUCAGCUUGUGUUGAUUACGUCCCUGCCCUUUGUACACACCGCCCGCCGCUCCUACCGAUUGAAUGUUCCGGUGAGCUCUUCGGACUGCGCGGUCUGCAGUUUCUGCGUUCCGUGCGGAAAGUUGCGCAAACCUUAACAUUUAGAGGAAGGAGAAGUCGUAACA